CUUGAACUCACUAUGUAGCCCAGGCUGGCAUCAAAUUCACAGUGAUCCUCCUGUCUCAGCCUCCUGAGUGCUGGGAU
rnacentral:miRNA from 1 species